CUUCAUGUAGAUUGCUGUGUGUGUCUUUUUCUUCAUAAUUCCCCUUAAUUCUGUGUGCUUUGAAUGACACUGUUGUUGUUACUGUUGUUUUAUAUCCAUUGUCACAUAAAACUCUUAUCAUUUAUUCUUCCAGGCCAGGGACUGUCCUUAUGGGUAGAGAUACACUAUCUGCAGGAAUUUAUUUUUUUACGUAUUUUUACUAGUUGAUGGGAAAGACAUUGGGAAAGACCUGGGCUGGAUUUGUGAUGAGCUGUGUUUACUGAGCAUGAUGAAGUAAAGCUCAACGUGAUUACUCUGAAGUCCAGCCUUA
rnacentral:ncRNA from 2 species